AACGGCUGAGUAACGCGUAGGUGACCUACCCCGUAGUGUGGAAUAACUGCCCGAAAGGGUAGCUAAUACCGCAUGUUGAGCCGACAUCAAUGUCGUCUCCAAAGCAGAAAUGCGCUAUGGGCGGGGCCUGCGUUCGAUUAGCUAGUUGGUGGGGUAAUGGCUCACCAAGGCGACGAUCGAUAGGUGGUCUGAGAGGACGAUCACCCAGACUGGGACUGAGACACGGCCCAGACUCC
rnacentral:rRNA from 1 species